rnacentral:SRP_RNA from 1 species
GCUGGGCGUGGUGGUGCACGCCUGUAAUCUCAGCUACUCAGGAGGCUGAGGCAGGAGAAUUACUUGAACCCAGGAAGCAGAGGGUGCAGUGAGCUGAGAUCACGCCACUGCACCCCAGCCUGGUGACAGAGUGAGACUCUGUCUCAA